rnacentral:rRNA from 1 species
UACAGAGGGUGCGAGCGUUGUUCGGAAUUAUUGGGCGUAAAGCGCUUGUAGGCGGCCUGUCAAGUCGCGUGUGAAAUCCCCUGGCUUAACCAGGGAAGUGCGCGCGAAACUGAAGGGCUUGAGUGCCGGAGAGGGUCGCGGAAUUCCCGGUGUAGAGGUGAAAUUCGUAGAUAUUCGCAAGAACACCAGUGGCGAAGGCGGCUCACUGGCCCGAUACUGACGCUGAGGCACGAAAGCGUGGGGAGCAAACAGG